AACGAACGCUGGCGGCGUGGUUUAGGCAUGCAAGUCGAGCGAGAAAGUCCUUCGGGACGAGUACAGCGGCGAAAGGGUGAGUAAUAUAUAGGUAACCUACCUCUUGGACUCGGAUAAUUCCUGGAAACGGGUUGUAAUACGAGAUCGUCCUAUUGGGUCGCAUGGCCCGACUGGUAAAUGGUAGCUCUGCUUCUGCCGAGAGAGGGGCCUAUAUCCUAUUAGCUAGUUGGUGAGGUAAUGGCUCACCAAGGCUUUGAUGGGUAGCCGGACUGAGAGGUUGGCCGGUCACACUGGGACUGAGACACUGCCCAGACUCCUACGGGAGGCUGCAGUCGAGAAUCUUCCGCAAUGGGCGAAAGCCUGACGGGGCGACGCCGCGUGAACGAAGAAGGCCUCGGUUGUAAGUUAC
rnacentral:rRNA from 1 species